rnacentral:rRNA from 1 species
AUUGAACGCUGGCGGCAGGCUUAACACAUGCAAGUCGAGCGGAGCGAGGGUGCUUGCACCUUAGCUUAGCGGCGGACGGGUGAGUAAUGCUUAGGAAUCCGCCUAUUAGUGGGGGACAACAUUCCGAAAGGGAUGCUAAUACCGCAUACGCCCUACGGGGGAAAGCAGGGGAUCUUCGGACCUUGCGCUAAUAGAUGAGCCUAAGUCGGAUUAGCUAGUUGGUGGGGUAAAGGCCUACCAAGGCGACGAUCUGUAGCGGGUCUGAGAGGAUGAUCCGCCACACUGGGACUGAGACACGGCCCAGACUCCUACGGGAGGCAGCAGUGGGGAAUAUUGGACAAUGGGCGGAAGCCUGAUCCAGCCAUGCCGCGUGUGUGAAGAAGGCCUUUUGGUUGUAAAGCACUUUAAGCGAGGAGGAGGCUACUUAGAUUAAUACUCUGGGAUAGUGGACGUUACUCGCAGAAUAAGCACCGGCUAACUCUGUGCCAGCAGCCGCCGCCAU